CCAGGCCCUGAGGGAGGACAUGCAAGGGAUCCAACACAAACUGGCCCAGUUAGAGGCAGACUGCGACCAUGUGACAUUGGCGCAGAACGCUACCACGGGCAUCAUACAACGGCAAGAAGUAACACUGCGCCAAAUGGAGGAUUUAGAUAACCGGGGGAGGCGGCAGAACAUCAGAAUCAGGGGCCUACCCGAGGAAUUGGACCAGG